rnacentral:rRNA from 1 species
CCUACGGGCGGCAGCAGUGAGGAAUAUUGGUCAAUGGGCGAGAGCCUGAACCAGCCAAGUAGCGUGAAGGAUGACUGCCCUAUGGGUUGUAAACUUCUUUUAUAUGGGAAUAAAAUGUGGCACGUGUGGGAUUUUGUAUGUACCAUAUGAAUAAGGAUCGGCUAACUCCGUGCCAGCAGCCGCGGUAAUACGGAGGAUCCGAGCGUUAUCCGGAUUUAUUGGGGUUAAAGGGAGCGUAGGUGGAUUGUUAAGUCAGUUGUGAAAGUUUGCGGCUCAACCGUAAAAUUGCAGUUGAAACUGGCAGUCUUGAGUACAGUAGAGGUAGGCGGAAUUCGUGGUGUAGCGGUGAAAUGCUUAGAGAUCACGAAGAACUCCGAUUGCGAAGGCAGCUCACUGGACUGCAACUGACACUGAGGCUCGAAAGUGUGGGUAUCAAACAGGAUUAGAUACCCUAGUAGUC